GUAGGGAAUAUUGGACAAUGGGCGAAAGCCUGAUCCAGCCAUGCCGCGUGAUAGAUGAAGGCCCUCUGGGUUGUAAAUAUCUUUUAUCUGGGAAGAAACUCCUCUAUUCUUAGAGGCCUGACGGUACCAGAGGAAUAAGCACCGGCUAACUCCGUGCAGCAGCCGCGGUAAUACGGAGGGUGCAAGCGUUAUCCGGAUUCACUGGGUUUAAAGGGUGCGUAGGCGGGUUGAUAAGUCAGUGGUGAAAGCUCCGGGCUUAACUUGGAAACUGCCAUUGAUACUGUCAAUCUUGAAUGUCGUAGAGGUAAGCGGAAUGUUGCAUGUAGCGGUGAAAUGCUUAGAUAUGUUACAGAACACCAAUUGCGAAGGCAGCUUACUAUGCGAUAAUUGACGCUGAGGCACGAAAGCGUGGGGAGCAAACAGGAUUAGAAACCCCAGUAGUCC
rnacentral:rRNA from 1 species